rnacentral:rRNA from 1 species
CUACGGGACGCUGCAGUAAGGAAUAUUGCGCAAUGGAGGCAACUCUGACGCAGCCAUGCCGCGUGCAGGAAGAAGGCCUUAUGGGUCGUAAACUGCUUUUAUUUAGGAAUAAACCCCCGAACGUGUUCGGGGCUGAAGGUACUAAACGAAUAAGCACCGGCUAACUCCGUGCCAGCAGCCGCGGUAAUACGGAGGGUGCAAGCGUUAUCCGGAUUUAUUGGGUUUAAAGGGUGCGCAGGCGGGCUAUUAAGUCAGUGGUGAAAUCCCGGGGCUCAACUCCGGAACUGCCAUUGAUACUGAUAGUCUUGAGUUUGGUUGAAGUGGGCGGAAUGUAGCAUGUAGCGGUGAAAUGCAUAGAUAUGCUACAGAACACCAAUCGCGAAGGCAGCUCACUAAGCCAAAACUGACGCUCAUGCACGAAAGCGUGGGGAUCAAACAGGAUUAGAUACGCGCGUAGUC